rnacentral:rRNA from 1 species
AGCGGAGGAAAAGAAACUAACAAGGAUUCCCCUAGUAACGGCGAGUGAAGAGGGAAGAGCUCAAAUUUUAAAUCUGCCUUGUUCCAAGGUCGAGUUGUAAUUUGAAGAAGCGUUUUCUUGGGCUCGCGGCCGGUAGAAGUUCUUUGGAACAGGACAUCAUAGAGGGUGACAAUCCCGUCCGUGACCGGUCGUGCGUUCAUCUACGAUACGCUUUCAAAGAGUCGAGUUGUUUGGGAUUGCAGCUCCAAACGGGUGGUAAACAUCACCUAAGGCUAAAUAUUGGCGAGAGACCGAUAGCGAACAAGUACCGUGAGGGAAAGAUGAAAAGAACUUUGAAAAGAGAGUUAAACAGUACGUGAAAUUGUUGAAAGGGAAACGAUUGAAGUCAGUCGUGCUGGCGCGAAAUCAACCCUCUCGUCUUGAGAUCACAUGGCGCGACGAGCCUCAAAACCGUCACGAAGCGUGAACUCUUGACGAAAAGGUGCACUUUCGUGUCCGCUGGUUAACAUCAAUUUCGAACGUCAUAAAAAGGCUGGAGGGAUGUGGCUCCUUCGGGAGUGUUAUAACCUUUAGCGGAAUGUGGCGUUCGGGAUUGAGGAUUGCAACGAAUACCUUCAGGGCUGUUCCACCUGGCUUCUCAUUGGUAUCCUGGUGACGACAGCUUGCUGACGUCGUUAGGAUCAGCUUCUGAACAGGCUAGAGUGUGAGCAAAUUCGUUAAGGAUGUUAACGUAAUGGCUUUAAACGACCCGUCUUGA